CCUACGUGAGGCAGCAGUGAGGAAUAUUGGUCCAUGGGCGCGAGCCUGAACCAGCCAAGUAGCGUGAAGGAUGACUGCCCUACGGGUUGUAAACUUCUUUUAUAAAGGAAUAAAGUGAGGCACGUGUGCCUUUUUGUAUGUACUUUAUGAAUAAGGAUCGGCUAACUCCGUGCCAGCAGCCGCGGUAAUACGGAGGAUCCGAGCGUUAUCCGGAUUUAUUGGGUUUAAAGGGCGCGUAGAUGGGUUGUUAAGUCAGUUGUGAAAGUUUGCGGCUCAACCGUAAAAUUGCAAUUGAUACUGGCAGUCUUGAGUACAGUUGAGGUAGGCGGAAUUCGUGGUGUAGCGGUGAAAUGCUUAGAUAUCACGAAGAACUCCGAUUGCGAAGGCAGCUUACUAAACUGCCACUGACAUUGAUGCUCGAAAGUGUGGGUAUCAAACAGGAUUAGAUACCCGAGUAGUC
rnacentral:rRNA from 1 species